rnacentral:snoRNA from 1 species
CACUGUUUAUGAUGAUGUUUUAUAAAACAAUGGGAAUCUCUCUGAAUUUGACUGAAAGACAUCCGUGUACUGAAACAGUG